rnacentral:rRNA from 1 species
UACGGGGGAGCAAGCGUUGUUCGGAUUUACUGGGCGUAAAGGGCGCGUAGGCGGCCAGCACAAGUCAGUUGUGAAAUCUCCGGGCUUAACUCGGAAAGGUCAACUGAUACUGUGCGGCUAGAGUGCAGAAGGGCAAUCGGAAUUCGUUGGUGGUAGCGGUGAAAUGCGUGAGAUAUCAAGAGGAACACCUGAGGUGAAGACGGGUUGCUGGGCUGACACGUGACGUGGAGGCGCGAAAGCUAGGGUAGCAAACAGG